rnacentral:rRNA from 1 species
AGAUUGAACGCUGGCGGCAUGCCUAACACAUGCAAGUCGAGCGGCAGCGCGGGGGCGACCCUGGCGGCGAGCGGCGGACGGGUGAGUAAGGCAUCGGAAUCUGCCCUGAUGUGGGGGAUAACGUAGGGAAACUUACGCUAAUACCGCAUACGACCGAGAGGUGAAAGCGGGGGACCGAAAGGCCUCGCGCAGCAGGAUGAGCCGAUGUCCGAUUAGCUGGUUGGUGGGGUAACGGCCCACCAAGGCAUCGACGGAUAGCUGGUCUGAGAGGACGAUCAGCCACACUGGAACUGAGACACGGUCCAGACUCCUACGGGAGGCAGC